GACGAACGCUGGCGGCGUGCUUAACACAUGCAAGUCGAACGAUGAAGCCUUCGGGUGGAUUAGUGGCGAACGGGUGAGUAACACGUGGGUGAUCUGCCCUGCACUUUGGGAUAAGCCUGGGAAACUGGGUCUAAUACCGAAUAUGAUCAUGCUCUUCAUGGGGUGUGGUGGAAAGCUUUUGCGGUGUGGGAUGGGCCCGCGGCCUAUCAGCUUGUUGGUGGGGUAAUGGCCUACCAAGGCGACGACGGGUAGCCGGCCUGAGAGGGUGACCGGCCACACUGGGGCUGAGAUACGGCCCAGACUCCUACGGGAGGCAGCAGUGGGGAAUAUUGCACAAUGGGCGCAAGCCUGAUGCAGCGACGCCGCGUGAGGGAUGACGGCCUUCGGGUUGUAAACCUCUUUCAGCAGGGACGAAGCGAAAGUGACGGUACCUGCAGAAGAAGGACCGGCCAACUACGUGCCAGCCGCCGCCGUAA
rnacentral:rRNA from 1 species